GGCUGCAUAGCUUAGUGGUAGAGCGUCUCCCUAGUAAGGAGAAGGUCGAGAGUUCGACUCUCUCUGUAGCCU
rfam:Anncaliia algerae PRA339 unplaced genomic scaffold supercont2.36, whole genome shotgun sequence.